AUUGAACGCUGGCGGCAUGCCUUACACAUGCAAGUCGAACGGUAACAGGUCUUCGGAUGCUGACGAGUGGCGAACGGGUGAGUAAUACAUCGGAACGUGCCUAGUAGUGGGGGAUAACUACUCGAAAGAGUGGCUAAUACCGCAUGAGAUCUACGGAUGAAAGCAGGGGAUCGCAAGACCUUGUGCUACUAGAGCGGCCGAUGGCAGAUUAGGUAGUUGGUGGGAUAAAAGCUUACCAGGCCGACGAUCUGUAGCUGGUCUGAGAGGACGAUCAGCCACACUGGGACUGAGACACGGCCCAGACUCCUACGGGAGGCAGCAGUGGGAAAUUUUGGACAAUGGGCGAAAGCCUGAUCCAGCAAUGCCGCGUGCAGGAUGAAGGCCUUCGGGUUGUAAACUGCUUUUGUACGGAACGAAAAGCCCCGGGUUAAUACCCUGGGGUCAUGACGGUACUGUAAGAAUAAGCACCGGCUAACUACGUGCCAGCCGCCACGGUAA
rnacentral:rRNA from 1 species